rnacentral:tRNA from 1 species
GGAGAAGUACUCAAGUAGGUUCAAGAGGAGCCCCUGCUAAGGGCUUAGGCUGGGUUAACUGGUGCGCGGGUUCGAAUCCCGCCUUCUCCG